rnacentral:rRNA from 1 species
CCUACGGGAGGCAGCAGUGAGGAAUAUUGGUCAAUGGGCGCAAGCCUGAACCAGCCAAGUCGCGUGAGGGAUGACGGUCCUAUGGAUUGUACACCUCUUUUGUCGGGGAGCAAGGCCCGCCACGUGUGGCUGGCAGGAGAGUACCCGCAGAAAAAGCAUCGGCUAACUCCGUGCCAGCAGCCGCGGUAAUACGGAAGGUCCGGGCGUUCUCCGGAUUUAUUGGGUUUCAAGGGAGCGUAGGCCGCAUGUCAAGCGUGCUGUGAAAUGUCCGGGCGCAACCCGGGCCUUGCAGCGCGAACGGGCGGGCUUGAGUCCGCGGAAAGCAGGCGGAAUUCGUCGUGUAGCGGUGAAAUGCUUAGAUAUGACGAAGAACCCCGAUUGCGAAGGCAGCUUGCUGCAGCGGAACUGACGCUGAUGCUCGAAAGCGCGGGUAUCGAACAGGAUUAGAUACCCCAGUAGUC